GACGAACGCUGGCGGCGCGCCUAAGACAUGCAAGUCGAACGGUCUUCUGUCUUUCUUCGUCUUCGGAGGAGGAGGGAGGGGAGAUAGUGGCGGACGGGUGAGUAACACGUACGGGACCUGCCCUAGAGUGGGGGAUAGCCUGGGGAAACCGAGGGUAAGCCCGCCUACGCUCCCUGGCAUAGCGGCCAGGGAGGAAAUGCUUUUCUCUUCGCAAGAGGGAGAGGGGUAGCUCUAGGAGGGGCGUGGGCGGAUUAGCUAGUUGGGGGU
rnacentral:rRNA from 1 species